CAAGCAUCUUAUUCACCUGAGUACAUUAUACCAACACAGAAACGAUUACUAGAUUACAUUGAUAUCGAAGGAACUAGACUCAGUUCCGAAAUAUCACUCGAACCGACCUGACCGCGUAGCUCAAUUGGCAGUGAGAGCAUUGGGCUAGUAUUCCAAAGGUCGUAGCGGUAGGUUCGAUUCCCACCGUUGCCAGGCAUAUUUUUCAAGCCUGCUCGGUGUGGAUAUACACUCAGAGUAACAUCACAAGCAUCUUAUUCACCUGAAUACAUUACACCAACACAGAAAAUAUCACAAUUUUCGAUAUGUUGAGAAAACAUCAGCGGAGUGUAAUGAAGACUCGUAUUUGGCAAUUUUACAUCUCUCAAGAGUAGAAUUG